UACGUAGGGGGCGAGCGUUGUCCGGAUUUAUUGGGCGUAAAGAGCUCGUAGGCGGUUUGGCAAGUCGGGUGUGAAAACUCCGGGCUCAACUCGGAGACGUCACUCGAUACUGCCAUGACUCGAGUCCGGUAGGGGAGUGCGGAAUUCCUGGUGUAGCGGUGGAAUGCGCAGAUAUCAGGAAGAACACCAACGGCGAAGGCAGCUCGCUGGGACGGAACUGACGCUGAGGCGCGAAAGCGUGGGGAGCGAACAGG
rnacentral:rRNA from 1 species